rnacentral:lncRNA from 1 species
CUGUACAACACGUGAGAGGAUAAAAGAUUAUUAACAGUAGCAGUUUCCAUUUAUUGAGAGCUUACUAUGGAGUAGGCACUGAACACUCACGAUAAUUCUAUGAAGUAUUAUUAUUAACCCCAUCUAUCAGUUGAAGAAAAAUGAGACCCAGAAAGGUUAAGCAAGUCAUUUAAAGUCACAGAACAAACAAGGUUCCUGGAUUUUCCUAUGCACCUGUAUCUGUGUGGACCCAAAGCCCCGGCACUUCACAAUGAACUCCAGCGUCCUCUAGAAAUCUAGGAACCGAAGGACUUCUUGACAAACUGCUCUACGACAGUAACGAGGCCUUAGAGCUGCAGCCAGACUGACUUCGAGUUUCGGCCGCAUCCUUUUCUGUGACCCUCAGCAGGUUCCUUCACUCUUUUGAGCCUCAGUUUCCCCAAUUGUAUAACGAGGGUAAAAAACCACGCCUUUCUCUCAGGGUUAUUGUGGGUAUUCAUUGAGAAGACGUGUGUGGAGCCCGGUGUCCGGCACCCAGUGAGAGCCUGGAACAAUCAUUAGGAUGUCUGAGUCCUUAUCACUCGUGCGCAGCACAACACGACCGUGGGCACAGGGUUGAAGGCGGUUCCCUACGCCUAGCCUCUCGAUAGGAACCUUCAGGGACGGGUGGACUUAAAGGAGCCGGUGGCCUUAAGAGUCCAGUCGAUGCUGCCACGUGAUGGGCCUGGGGGAAAGCCCCGAUCCCAAGCGCCAACAGAGCAGCCGACCUCAGCCAACCUCAACCAACACGUAGGCGAGGAUGCCCAGGGUGAGCGCCAGCGGCGAGAAGACGCGCUAUCGCGAGAUCGGUGGGACCUACGCGUUUACAGGCCGGAAGUGAGGGGCGGGCCUAAGGGGGCGCGCUCCUUUUGAAACCUGAGACGGAGACCUGCGGAGGGCGAGGGCUGGUUGGAGGUCGCUGUCCUUUCUGGGAACCAAGCAGGGGUCGCAGGAGGGCGGGGAUGGGUCAGCGGGGAUCUCUGAGUGGGGUUCGGCUGAGAGAGGCCACAGUUUCAUCUUUGGGAAGCUACCCUGGGCCGGCCACGCGCCGUGAGCCGGACUGGCGACGCCCCCCUGCCUCCACCGUGCUCCUUCACCCGAGAAAUUCAGCUCAGCCCCAGCCUCUCGGCAACCUCCCUUUGGCUCCGCCUUUUAAAGGACCUUUACGAGUCUUGCUAUGUUGCCCAGGCUGGCCUUCAACUCCUAGGGACAAUGGAUCUGCCCUCCUCAGCCUCCCGAGUAGCUGAGAUUACAGGAAUGUGCCACCACACCUGGCUACAGCAAGGCUUUUGACAAAAAUGGUUGAAAGAAUUCAAAACUGAGGAUCCUAGUGCUGAGGGUGGGAUAUUUUGUGUUAUUGGUCAGUAAGAAUGUCUCUUACUUGAGAUAUGAAUCCUGAAGGUGGUAAGAGUUGAUUUAUUUAGACAGAGUUAAUUUUAAUUAGUGAAAACUGAAGAACUGACUUGUAUUUUGGUCUGACGUAUGAUUGUUUCAACUUUGCUGCAGUAGCACCUACAAGAGGACCAACAUUCUCCAGGAAAUUCUGUCCUUUAAAACCAUGAGAUGAAUAAUCUUGGUCUGGAAGAUAUUCAUAGAAAGAAGCUUAGAAUGUUUGAUUUUUGAGCAUGAAUUAACUGUACAGUCAUCAAUUAAAUAAGCUGAUCCACUGAGUAAUUGUUGAGAUGAUCCUUCUGGAUGCUGAAUAAUGCUAGCCUAGAAUGGGGAUUUGACAUUGAUAUAUUCUUUCCUAUUAACAAAUCCAGUUUUCUUUCUUCCUCCCAUCCUCCCUCCUUCUUUCUUUCUUCCUUUCUUUUCCUUUCAUUUGCCUUCCUUUCCUUCCUUCCCUUCCCUUUCACAAUAUUUUACUUUAAAAAAAUUAUGAAAUCCAUCAUGUACACUUCAAUGUGUUAAAUAUAUAUGUACAUUUUAAAGAUUAAUAGUCCAGUGAACAUCUGUGUACCCACUACUCAGGGUGAGAAACAAAUAUAACGAUGGUCUCGUGUGUUCCUUGUGGGCUCUUCCCCAAUUCUUCCUUCUCCACAGAGACCACUUCCACCUGCCUUCUGUGGUAGUUAUCUUAUAAUCCUCUUCAUAAUUUCUUUCUUUUUUUUUUUUUUUGAGAUGGAGUCUCGCUCUGUCGCCCAGGCUGGAGUGCAGUGGCAUGAUCUCAGCUCACUGCAAGCUCUGCCUCCUGGGUUCAUGCCAUUCUCCUGCCUCAGCCUCCCGAGUAGCUGGGACUACAGGCACCCGCCACCACGCCUGGCUAAUAUUUGUAUUUUUAGUAGAGACUGGGUUUCACCGCAUUAGCCAGGAUGGUCUCGAUCUCCUGACCUCGUGAUCCGCCCGCCUUGGCCUCCCAAAGUGCUGGGAUUACAGGCGUGAGCCACCGUGCCUGGCCCCUCUUCAUAAUUUCUAACA